CAUUAGAUGGCUGAAAGCAAGCAAUGGUCUCUUAAACCACUUUAUAGUAAAAUAGCUCCUACUUCUGAUG
rnacentral:tRNA from 1 species